AUUUGCAUUUCUAAAAGAUCACUCUGGCUGGUGUGGUGUGGGGAGGGCAGAUUAGAGGGGGCAGAGUGGAUGUGGGAGGUGAGCUGGGAGAGUGGAGCAGUGAUCUUGGUGCGAUGAUAGAGGCCUGGAUCAAUGAUGGAGGUGAAGACAGACAGAAAUUCCAGUGCCUAGCACAGCAUCUGACAAAUAGGAUAUACUCAGUAACUACUCAGUGGAGUGCACAAGUGAGUUCGUGGAGCUGGGGCAGAUGAAGGAGGAGCAGAUUUACAGAGAAGGCUAUGGCUUCUCCUCUCCAUUGAAGAUCUCAGGACAGCCAACCUCAGCAAAGCUGAGGAUCCAGAGACACGGGAGUGGGAUGUAUGAAGAAACUGGAGCACCCAUUCCCUUCAGUCUGGUGUACUGCUUGAUUAUGCCUCCAAUAUGACUCCCAGAGAAAGCCGAUGGGGAGAUGGAGACUAAGGACGAUGGGGAAGAGGGGUACCAGGGAGGGAGGCCAGGGAAAGAAGGCAGAAAGAUGUGUGUGAUGGGAGGUGGCCGGAGGUGGCGGUGGCUCGACCUCAGGCCGCUCUGGACUCUUCGCCAGGGCCGGUAAGGAUCUAAGUCCGGGCGGCGGAGGACAACUUCUGCCAGCAGCCCGCGGGUCCUGUCCGCCUCCCUCCCCGGGGAGCGGGAGCUCGGGCCUCGCUGCUCCCCGCCCAGGGCCACCCGGCUGC